rnacentral:rRNA from 1 species
AGGUAGAGCCUUGUGUGAAUACCUUUUGGGGUAGAGCACUGUUUCGGCUAGGGGCCCAUCCUGGGUUACCAAACCGAUGCAAACUCCGAAUACCAAAGAGUAAUGCACAGGAGACACACGGCGGGUGCUAACGUCCGUCGUGGAGAGGGAAACAACCCAGACCGCCAGCUAAGGUCCCAAAAUCUAUAUUAAGUGGGAAACGAAGUGGGAAGGCUUAGACAGCUAGGAUGUUGGCUUAGAAGCAGCCACCAUUUAAAGAAAGCGUAAUAGCUCACUAGUCGAGUCGGCCUGCACGGAAGAUGUAACGGGGCUAAAAUAUAGUACCGAAGCUGCGGCAUCAGGCGUAUCACUAAUACGCCUUAACGAUUAACCACUUGCGAAGCAAGUGGGUAAAGCGAAAAACACGUUGAGUGUAAUGGCAAAGAAUCGAAGAGGGAUAUUAGUGAUACGUCUGUUGGGUAGGGGAGCGUUGUGUAAGCGGAAGAAGGUGGUUCGAGAGGAUUGCUGGACGUAUCACAAGUGCGAAUGCUGACAUAAGUAACGAUAAAACGGGUGAAAAACCCGUUCGCCGGAAGACCAAGGGUUCCUGUCCAACGUUAAUCGGGGCAGGGUGAGUCGGCCCCUAAGGCGAGGCUGAAAAGCGUAGUCGAUGGGAAACGGGUUAAUAUUCCCGUACUUGGUAAAGUUGCGAUGUGGGGACGGAGAAGGUUAGGUUAUCGACCUGUUGGAAAUGGUCGUUUAAGUUGGUAGGUGGGUGAGUUAGGCAAAUCCGGCUCACCGUUAACACUGAGAGAUGAUGACGAGGCACUAAGGUGCUGAAGUAACUGAUACCACACUUCCAGGAAAAGCCACUAAGCUUCAGGCUUUACUAAACCGUACUGAAAACCGACACAGGUGGUCAGGUAGAGAAUACUCAGGUGCUUGAGAGAACUCGGGUGAAGGAACUAGGCAAAAUAGCACCGUAACUUCGGGAGAAGGUGCGCCGGCGUAGAUUGUAGUGACUUGCUCACGAAGGUUGAACCGGUCGAAGAUACCAGCUGGCUGCAACUGUUUAUUAAAAACACAGCACUCUGCAAACACGAAAGUGGACGUAUAGGGUGUGAUGCCUGCCCGGUGCUGGAAGGUUAAUUGAUGGUGUAAUCGAAAGAGAAGCUCCAGAUCGAAGCCCCAGUAAACGGCGGCCGUAACUAUAACGGUCCUAAGGUAGCGAAAUUCCUUGUCGGGUAAGUUCCGACCUGCACGAAUGGCAUAAUGAUGGCCAGGCUGUCUCCACCCGAGACUCAGUGAAAUUGAAAUCGCCGUGAAGAUGCGGUGUACCCGCGGCUAGACGGAAAGACCCCGUGAACCUUUACUAUAGCUUGACACUGAACCUUGAAUUUUGAUGUGUAGGAUAGGUGGGAGACUGUGAAGCGGUAACGCCAGUUAUCGUGGAGUCGUUGUUGAAAUACCACCCUUUAACGUUUGAUGUUCUAACGAAGUGCCUGAAACGGGUACUCGGACAGUGUCUGGUGGGUAGUUUGACUGGGGCGGUCUCCUCCCAAAGAGUAACGGAGGAGCACGAAGGUUUGCUAAUGACGGUCGGACAUCGUCAGGUUAGUGCAAUGGUAUAAGCAAGCUUAACUGCGAGACAGACAAGUCGAGCAGGUGCGAAAGCAGGUCAUAGUGAUCCGGUGGUUCUGAAUGGAAGGGCCAUCGCUCAACGGAUAAAAGGUACUCCGGGGAUAACAGGCUGAUACCGCCCAAGAGUUCAUAUCGACGGCGGUGUUUGGCACCUCGAUGUCGGCUCAUCACAUCCUGGGGCUGAAGUAGGUCCCAAGGGUAUGGCUGUUCGCCAUUUAAAGUGGUACGCGAGCUGGGUUUAGAACGUCGUGAGACAGUUCGGUCCCUAUCUGCCGUGGGCGUUGGAGAAUUGAGAGGGGCUGCUCCUAGUACGAGAGGACCGGAGUGGACGCAUCACUGGUGUACCAGUUGUCUCGCCAGAGGCACUGCUGGGUAGCUAAAUGCGGAAGAGAUAAGUGCUGAAAGCAUCUAAGCACGAAACUUGCCUCAAGAUGAGUUCUCCCUGACUUAAAGUCAGUAAGGGUUGU